rnacentral:tRNA from 1 species
GGCAUCGUGGCUGAACGGCUAGGCGAGACUCCGCAAGAGUCUAUAUAAUGGUUCGAAUCCAUUCGAUGCCU